GGCACUGUGGCGGAGUGGUCUAACGCGACAGAUUUGAAUUUCUCACUAUCUGUUCCACUAUGUGGGCGUCCGUUCGAACCGGGCCAGUGUCG